AAGAAAGUAGCAGAGUGGUAAUGCAUUUGGCUUGAAACCAGAUGGUGGAGGUUCGAUUCCUUCUUUUCUUG
rnacentral:tRNA from 1 species